AUGCACGCUGGCGGCGUGCCUCAUCCAUGCAAGUCGAGCGAACAGACGAGGAGCUUGCUCCUCUGACGUUAGCGGCGGACGGGUGAGUAACACGUGGAUAACCUACCUAUAAGACUGGGAUAACUUCGGAAAACCGGAGCUAAUACCGGAUAAUAUAUUGAACCGCAUGGUUCAAUAGUGAAAGACGGUUUUGCUGUCACUUAUAGAUGGAUCCGCGCCGCAUUAGCUAGUUGGUAAGGUAACGGCUUACCAAGGCAACGAUGCGUAGCCGACCUGAGAGGGUGAUCGGCCACACUGGAACUGAGACACGGUCCAGACUCCUACGGGAGGCAGCAGUAGGGAAUCUUCCGCAAUGGGCGAAAGCCUGACGGAGCAACGCCGCGUGAGUGAUGAAGGUCUUCGGAUCGUAAAACUCUGUUAUUAGGGAAGAACAAAUGUGUAAGUAACUAUGCACGUCUUGACGGUACCUAAUCAGAAAGCCACGGCUAACUACGUG
rnacentral:rRNA from 1 species